rnacentral:misc_RNA from 1 species
AAGUCGUAACAAGGUAACCGUAGGUGAACCUGCGGUUGGAUCAUUAUUGAUACAUUGCCCUAGUAGUGAGAGGUUCUAGUAAUCAUAUCCUGCUAGGGUUAUUAACACCUGUGCACCGUUGGAAAGGUUGUUGUCUUUGUAAGUUGCCGACUCUCGGGUUAGUAACAGACAUUGGCCACUGCCUGACCUACAAACCCCUUUUAAUUUGACUGAGUUUAUUUAUUAAUUUAAAUGAUAAACAACUUUAGACAACGGAUCUCUUGGCUCUC